UCCAUUCUCUUCUCUAACAUUACACUUACCAAAGUUUUCUCUCUCAGCUUUUACUCUAAAAUAAAAAAAAAUCACUUUUGGAGAGACCCAUUUUAGUGUUUAACAAGGAUUUUCAAGUAAGCAAAGGAGUUUCGGCAAGGAACCAGUGAAUUUUGGGUCUUUGAUCAUUCACACUUCCGAGCACGUCGAUGGGUGUGGAUUUCAUCGAGAAUAAAAGCACAAGGUUUGGGUGGCACAAGCCAAGGAAACUUGUAGUCUGAUUUAACUUGCUUGUUAUCUCGAAGGAUUAGGAGAUAUUUAUGAGACCAUUUUUUUUCUUUGAACUUUUUUUUUUCAAUAUUUUUUAUAGAUUUAUUUUGUAAUUCUUGUAAAAGUAUUGCUCUUGGUCGGGUACUCCUAUUUGCUCUUGUAUUGCUCACAGUCUCAAUGUCCAGCUGAUCAAUGUUCUUUUGAUAAUCUAUAUUCUUUUUUUGACAAUAAAAUAUACAUCCUUUUCCAUUUUCAAUGUGAAAAAGAUAAAUAAAGUUUAUUCACAUAACUAUCAUUUUAUU